GGGCCGUAGCUCAGUGGAAGAACACCUGCUUUGAAUGCAGAAGGCCUCAGGUUCAAUCUCCAGGUAGGUCUG